ensembl:lncRNA
AGUUGUUCUAGGGUGGAACCCAGACCCCGGCAAUUGCAAUAGCUUCCCAGGUGAUUCCAGUGAACAGGUGGGCGAGAUAACAACCGCAGGCUGGGGAGUUGAUCUGAGAAUGGGCUUACAAAUACAGCCCCUGGUUAUGAUCAGGACAGGUCCUAAGCAUGUGACGUCUAGACGUCUCAAAAGACUUCAAGUUCUGGUUCUUCCAAUCCCAACAUGCAAUGUUCAAGAUUUUGAGUAUGACUUUGCUAUUGAUUUUUCAAAAUGUCUUCUGUCUCAUCUUGGCCCCCGAAGCAGCCAGUUUAGAAGCUUUGAUGCUAGAAACUUCGUUUCCCACAAUCACCUUCCCUGUGUGACUCCAGACUGCAGUUUGACAUUGAGAAGUACUCUCAUGAGAUUUGGAAAGCAGAAGGGAAGGAAAAGCCAUUAUCCUCUAGAGGCAUUUGCAGCUAGAAACAGGAGUAGACAAGAUUCACAGAGACUUCCCAGUGGGCUCUUGAGAAACAUCCGUUUUGGAGCUUCAGGUAUCAGACCAGCAUCACAGCUUGAAGGCUCUUCCUUCUACCCCUGCUCUUUCCACUUUAUCUUGCACAGGUUUAACUCACAAGAAAUCACUGCACUUCAAACCUUUUCUUGGACUAUGGCUCCUGGAAGACCCAAAUUGCCACAGUAGUCCUGUCAGAAAUGGUCUUAUAAAGUAGUCAGUAUGGUAGGCUCUGGGGACUGGAUCACUUGGCAAAUGCUUGAUGAAGUAUACAGGAUCUAAACAGUCCCUGGUAUAGGUGGUAGCCCAGAGGAUAAAAAUUCUUCGGGUUGUAAUUUGGGAAAAUGCUCCAAUGAUGGGGACUGUCUUGGUCUGUAUGAAGAUUCAGGUAUUUGUAAGAUAUGGGAUAGGAAGGAAUACCUAUACAAAUAUUGGAGUUGUCUAGUUAUUACUAAGGUGCUUUGGCACUUUUCAGGGGGAUAAUAGAAAUUGAAAGUGGUUGUCAAACAGUAAAAAUGAUUUUUGAAAGAGAGAGGGACACUUUUGUAGGGUAUCUCUUACAGCAUGUCCUUAUCUCAUGUGGUAGGAGAACAGACACCAAUGGUGGAAUACUUAGAAUUUGAUAGUUAUAGUUUCAGACUUUCAAAGGUUGAAUUGGCAGCCAAGACAAGCCUGUUUUGCUAAGGUCAGGGCCCUGGUAGAGAAAACCUGAGACUCUUAAACAUGAGGUGGAUGCUUCUCGAGGGAUCUGAAUAGGAUUGUGACUCUGAUGAUUCAUUUGCACCCUCAGAAUCUGAAGAAGAAAUUCAUCCCUUGCUAAUAAGAACCAGCACUUCCCCCAUGCAGAAAUACAUUGCAGAGGGAGACCUCUCUUGCACAAGGCAAGGGCUGCUCUCAUUUUCUCUCCUGGCUUCCAGGCCAAUUACUAAUAUUAAAUCAAAGCAUACGCAAGCUGGAGAUAUUCUGGGCCUAAUAAGGGAGAGAAGAGGUUACACCCCAAAGUAGCUAGCAAGUACCAGCAAGGACUUGGGUAGCAGCAGUGGGGUUGGAUUUUGAGAAGGUUUGAUCAAUGGAUUUAGUACAUAAAGCCAAAAGAGCAGAAGUUCAUUGAUUUGGUAACAGUAUUUUAGGAUAGACAAUUUAACUCUCUAGCUAAGACCCCAGCAAAUAAGUUCAACUCACUACUAUGGAGGCUCAUUGAGGACUGGAGAAAGUAAUGGCCCAUACGGAAAGAAGCUGAAAUUCUUGAGUUGUCAUCUCAGAUGGAGGAGAAAAUGAGCCAUGGAAACAGGCAUGCAGGAAUGGAUAUAUUGUAUAGGGUCAGAAGAAGCACCAGAGGAUUUUGUUCCGUGAGAAGAACUCAGAUGACGUAUCAUUAACUAAGGCCAUCAGGAUUAUGCUGGUGGGAGGAUACCAGCUUCACUAAGAAUUUGGUUUUGGAUCUCUUCUGCUGGCCAGGGUUGAGGUUAGAUGUAGUCUCUUCGCUCAUUAAUAGCAACAGAGAUUUUUGAGCCA